rnacentral:rRNA from 1 species
AAUGAACGUUGGCGGCGUGGAUUAGGCAUGCAAGUCGUACGCACAGCAAUGUGAGUGGCGCAAGGGUGAGUAAUGCGAAGGUAACCAACCCUGGUGUUGGGCAUAGCCGCGGGAAACUGCGGGUAAUUCCCAGCGAUGUCUCGAGAUGGCAUCAUCUUGAGACCAAAGGUGUGAUUCCGCUCUAGGACGGGCCUUCGUGGUAUUAGGUAGUUGGUGAGGUAAUGGCUCACCAAGCCUACGAUGCCUACCGGGUGUGAGAGCAUGACCCGGCACACUGGAACUGAGACACUGUCCAGACACCUACGGGAGGCAG